rnacentral:rRNA from 1 species
ACGCUGGCGGCAUGCCUAACACAUGCAAGUCGAACGGGGGUAGCAAUACCCUAGUGGCGAACGGGUGAGUAACACAUAAGCAAUCUACCCUUCACAGGGGGAUAACAGCGGGAAACUGCUGCUAAUACCGCAUAAGACCACAGUACCGCAUGGUACAGGGGUAAAAACGAAUCAGUGGUGAAGGAUGAGCUUAUGUCCCAUUAGCUAGUUGGUGAGAUAACAGCCCACCAAGGCGACGAUGGGUAGCCGACCUGAGAGGGUGAUCGGCCACACUGGAACUGAGACACGGUCCAGACUCCUACGGGAGGCAGCAGUGGGGAAUAUUGGGCAAUGGAGGAAAAACCUCUUACCCAGCAAUGCCGCGUGAGUGAAGAAGGUCUUCGGAUUGUAAAGCUCUUUGAUUGGGGACGAAGAAAGUGACGGUACCCAAAGAACAAGCCCCGGCUAACUACGUGCCAGCCGCUGC